ACCUACCUCUUUCUUCUCUAUGUAGCGUGAGGGUAUCCGUCAUUAGGCUAUACGAGUGAAUUUGUGACGCGAGUUUGAUUCGAUUUAUUUUGUUGUGCUCUGCCCAAAUAUUGCGGAGAGUAGCUGGUCACAAGAUGAUGGCAAGUUCCUAAUUCCAAUGAAGUUUAUAUUGUGUAGCUUUCUUCGUGAUGAUUUGGAUUUGUGCAGUCAUGUUCAAGUCCAAUGAUAUUUUGUGCAAGCAGACCGCUCUCAAGGUUUGUACUUCUUACCUUGUGUGUGAGCGUGCUUGUUGUGCUUCUAGAGGUUAAUUAAUUAGUUGUUCUGGCAAGCAGACUGCUCUUAAGGGAUUGAGGUUCUUAUGUGUUGUAUCAACGUUAUUGCUAUUGUUCUAGCAGGCUAUAGGGUUGGGGGAGCGAUGGUGCCAGUGUCAUGUCGGGCUCCGGUUUCGGUCAAUACCAAAGAUUGUGAUGCCUCACCGUGGCUACAGGUUGAAACUUCGUGCUGCAGUUUCGUCUUCCGUCCUGUUUGGUCCAGAGGAAACAUUAGAUCCUUGGUCUUCCGGAUCAAGCGAUGGUGCCCUACAACGUCGCAUUCCUCGGAUGGGGCUUCGCCUUUGAGCUUGCCUUGCUAGGGGGACUGGUGGCUCUAAAAAUCAUCUCACUCUACUGUUGCUCUGUAGUGUAUGAUGAUGUUUCUCUUGUUAUUUUCAAUCUUACACCCUCAGUCAUGAGGUGAGCUUAGUGGAUUGUGAUUUUCAAGACAGCCUACUUGAUGCCAUAUUUACAUAGCUUGCUUGGUGAAAUUCAGUUUAUAGUUUCUCAGUAUUUAAUCAACCGAUCAAAGUUUAAUUUGUUAAACAAUAAGCAAUAAAAUCCUCCACUCUCAUUAUUUAAUUCUGUUUGGCAAUGGAGCUAGUUUCUCAUGCAUCUAUCUUUUCAUUUAGCUAGCUAGCUAACUUGGUCCAUUUCAAUUAAACAUCUAUCUUUUCAUCUAUCUUCUCAUGCAUCUAAUUCUGUUUGGCAGUAAAUUUUGGUUAACACGAGCAGUGAGCAGAGGAAGCAGCGAGGAUGGGCGGUGCGGCCACACCUCUGGGCCAUGGCGUAAGCGGUGGAGCCUGUGGGCGUCCGUAUCAGGUCGAAGGCGAGGCUGUUGUUCGGAUCCGGAGCACGAGCGACGAAUGGAGCCACCACGUCCGCGCACUCCAGGAGUGAAUGGCAAGAUCAGGCCAUGGCAAAGGAUCUCAAAAUACAUGGCGCUAGUUGCUUUUAGGGACAACCACACAGUGUACAGUCUCGAUCUAAUUCACGUAAUCACAUAUAUCAUUCAUGGAUUGGAGAGAAAGUGAGAGGCCCAAGAAAAUCCACUUGAUAUUACAUGUAUAAUGAUGCAAUUCACACAAAUGACAAGCUUAUCAAGAUUGCCACGGAGGUACUCAAAUGAUUUGAAUUUCAAGCUCUUCUUUUUUCUUGGUUACCAGUCUGUAGUAGAUGAUAAGUAUUGGUGCUCAGUUCCUCAACUAUAAUCAGACUUUUACAUAAAACUAAUAGCUGAUUUCAUUGAACAGAUUUUGCAUGGUUUGGUAUGUCUUUGAGAAACAAUAGGCACAAACAAUAGUUAGUUUGUGUUUUUUGGCAACGUUCAUAACCAUGGCAUUCUUACUAUGAUGCAUCAAUGCGCAGCUAGCUAGGUGUAGCUAAUACAAUAAGUUUGCUCUCUACUUCAGAAUUCAAAGGAGCUCAACAUUUGUUUUAUAGUUCAAACCAAUUACCGAUCUAUUACAAAUUCAUAUUGUCUUCUUCAUCUCUUUAUUUGGUAGUUCUCUUCUCGUAUCCCCUCUCUAUUGCAAUGAAAUUUCAGCAACACAAAUUAGUGAUCUUGCGAGGUAAUCAUGAUGAUUGAGAAAGAAAAUGGUACCCAGGAGUACGUAGUGUAGUAAUAUUCAGAAAAAUGUAUGUUUCUAUCUCUUUCAGGUCCGUGCUAGCUGUUUCUUUGAACGACAUUUAGACGAUAUGUGCAAAAGGAUGAGGCACAUACUGACUAGAUUUGUCUUGUGUAGGUUAAAAAGGGUUUUAUGCGGGAUACAAACCAAAGCUUUUGUGUGUAUACUCUGGUGCUUCAGUUAAACAUGGAAAGCUAUAAUUUACUCUGGUGCUCGAGUUAAAGAUGGAAAGCUAUAAUGUAUUGAAAAAAUGUACAAAGUGGAAGUUGGUACUAAAGAAAAUUGCUCUCUUUUUGAUCUGCAAACAAAUUUCAGUCAUAAUAUGUGCCAUUCAAGUGAAAAUACAAAUUAGGACUUGUAAGAUUUUCUUCUCGCGUUGCAACGCACGGGCUCUUUUGCUAGUAUAAAAAAUGUCCACAUAUGGAUGCUAGCACCAUUCACGUCCACAAUGGGGUUGGGCCUCACCACCAAUCCAACAUCCAAUUGACUUUGGUUUUGGACUAUCAUCCUGUCGGCCACCUCUUGACGGCCGCCGCCGCCCUCCACCUCUUAUCCCCUUGACCACCUGUCCAUGGUCGACUCCGCCCUCCACCUCAUCUCUUGCCCACCUCCUCAAGGCUGCCUCUGCAUCAUCCCCUCGCACCGCACCUCAUGGUAGCCUUCCACCUCUGCCUCAUCCCCUUGUCCGCCUUCUCACGAUCAAACUAGGUUUCGCCAUUGCGGAGAGGCCGACAGAGUUGACAACCCUUCUCUUGUCUCUCCACCGCAGUCACCAAAUUUGUUCCGUUCGUCGUCCCAUCAUUGUUGCAAUGUCAAUCAUCACCCGCCGCAGCACACCAUGGUAGGCUCUGUAAUUUUUCUCUGAAACUGUAUGUUCUUCCUUAUCUCCAAUUGAAUAGCAGAGUACAAUAGAUGCUAGCAAAUAUCUUUUGUUUAUUGCAUGGUAUUUGGCUCUUCUUCUGAUAAAUAGAUUUGUAUUGAUACUCCAUGAAGACAAAAUAAUGUCUAUUCCUGAAUUUUAAUGCGUGUAAGUGUGUAACCUGGUACUUGGCUUAGUUUUUCCUUUAUCUUGUAACAAGGUACUCAAAUGAAUACAAGUCGGUGUUUCAGUGAUUUAUUAUGGAUGCCUCAGAGCCAACAUAAAAUAUCCAAAGCUUGGGAAAAUGUGAGUAUUUGUUGAUUUAGCAUGUGAUCUAUUACACUUAGGGGAUGGCUUAAACUGAUUUUUGUAUAUAUUUAUGCAGCCUAAAAUUUGCUUAAACAUACGUUGUCACUGUGUUGGGAUCCCAUUUGAUCCUCUAUGUAGCCCGGCUUUAGAGAACCUUGGUUUUUAUCAAAUUGCAAAGAUGAGGAAAUCAUUGUCGACACAUACUUGAUAUCAGCAUUGGUUGAGCGUUGGCGGCCUGAGAUAAAUAGUUUUCACUUACCUGUAGGAGAAAUGACUAUUAUGCUACAAGACGUGAGCUAUUUGUGAGGCUUCCUAUUCAUGGUAAACCACUUGUUGGUAUUGUUGGGGAACGUUGCAUGGGAAACAAAAAAAUUCCAACGCACACGAAGACCUAUCAUGGUGAUGUCCUCUACGAGAGGAGAUUUGGAUCUACGUACCCUUGUAGAUCGCACAGCAGGAAGCGUUAAGAAAUGCGGUUGAUGUAGUGGAAUGUCUUCACGUCCCUAGAUCUGCCCCACGAUACGUCCCACAAACCGUCCCGCGAUCCGUUCCUAUCUAGCGCCGAACGGACGGCACCUCCGCGUUCAGCACACGUACAACUCGACGAUGAUCUCGGCCUUCUUGAUUCAGCAAGCAAGACGGAGAAGUAGAUGAGUUCUCCGGCAGGGUGACGGCGCGCCGGUGGUGGUGAUGAUCUACUCCUGCAGGGCUCCAUCCGAGCUCCGCAGAAAUCCGAUCUAGAGGUAAAACUAUGUGGUCUAGGGUUGAGUUGCACGUGACAAAAGUUGUAUCAAAUUAGCCCUAAAUCACCACUUUAUAUAGGAGGGAGGGGGAGGAGGCUUGCCUUGAGGGCCAAGCCCUCAAGGGUGCGCCGGCCAGGAGGAGAGGAGGAAUCCUACUCCAAUUAGGAUUGGAAAGUGGAGUCCUUCUCUUCCUUCCCACUUCCUUUUUUUUUCCUUUCUCUUUGGUUUCUCUUCUCUUGGCGCCAAGGCCUUCUUGGGCUGUCCCACCAGCCCACUAAGGGCUGGUGCGCCACCCUAAAGACAUUGGGCUCCCUCCGGGUGGGUUGCCCCCCUCCCAGAGAACUUCCGGAACCCAUUCGUCACUCCCGGUACAAUGCCGGUAAUGCCCAAAAACUUUCCGGUAACCAAAUGAAACCAUCAUAUAUAUCAAUCUUCAUUUCUGGACCAUUACGGAAACCCUCGUGACAUCCGUGAUCUCAUCUCGGACUCCGAACAACAUUAGGUAACCACACAUAUAACUCAACUAUACUAAAACAUCAUCGAACCUUAAGUGUGCUGACCAUGCGGGUUCGAGAACUAUGUAGACAUGCCCCGAGGCACUCCUUGGUCAAUAUCCAAUAGUGGGACCUGGAUGCCCAUAUUGGAUCCUACAUAUUUUAUCGGUUGAACCUAAGUGUCAAGGAUUCAUAUAAUCAUGUAUGUCAUUCCCUUUGUUCUUCGGUAUGUUACUUGCCCGAGAUUUGAUCGUCGGUAUCCGCAUACCUAUUUCAAUCUCGUUAGCGGCAAGUCUAUUUACUCGUUCUGUAAUACAAGAUCCCGUGACUUACACUUAGUCACAUUGCUUGCAAGGCCUGUGUGUGAUGUUGUAUUGCCGAGUGGGCCCCAAGAUACCUCUCCGUCACAAGGAGUGACAAAUCCCAGUCUUGAUCCAUACUAACUCAACGGACACCUUUGGAGAUACCUGUAGAGCACCUUUAUAGUCACCCAGUUACGUUGUGACAUUUGAUGCACAUAAGGUAUUACUCCGGUGCCAGUGAGUUAUAUGAUCUCAUGGUCAUAGGAACAAAUACUUGACACACAGAAAACAAUAGCAAUAAAACGACACGAUCAAUAUGCUACGUUCAUAGUUUGGGUCUAGUCCAUCACAUGAUUCUCCUAAUGACGUGAUCUAGUUAUCAAGUGACAACACUUCCACAUAGCCAGAAAACCUUGACUAUCAUUGAUCAACUGGCUAGCCAACUAGAGGCUUGCUAGGGACAUUGUUUUUUCUAUGUAUCCACACAUGUAUCUAUGUUUUCAUUCAAUACAAUUAUAGCAUGGAUAAUAAAUGAUUAUCAUUAAACAAUAAAUAUAAUAAUAACUAUUUGUCAUUGCCUCUAGGGCAGAUUUCCAACAGUCUCCCACUUUCACUAGAGUCAAUAAUCUAGUCCUCCCAUCGCCAUGCGAUUUACAUUGUAAUAAAUCAAACACCCAUACAGUUCUGGUGUUGAUCAUGUUUUGCCCGUGGAAGAGGUUUAGUCAGCGGGUCUGCUACAUUCAGAUCUUUGUGCACUUUGCAAAUAUUCACGUCCUCUCCUUCGACGUAGUCGCAGAUGAGGUUGAUGCAUCGUUUGAUGUGUCUGGUCUUCUUGUGAAACCUUGGUUCCUUUGCUAAGGCUAUGGCACCAGUGUUGUCACAUAAUAGAGUUAAUCGAUUUANNNNNNNNNNNNNNNNNNNNNNNNNNNNNNNNNNNNNNNNNNNNNNNNNNNNNNNNNNNNNNNNNNNNNNNNNNNNNNNNNNNNNNNNNNNNNNNNNNNNUAAGGCAUUCCUCCGGUGCCAGUGAGUUAUAUGAUCUCAUGGUCAUAGGAACAAAUACUUGACACGCGGAAAACAAUAGCAAUAAAACGACACGAUCAAUAUGCUACGUUCAUAGUUUGGGUCUAGUCCAUCACAUGAUUCUCCUAAUGAUGUGAUCCAGUUAUCAAGUGACAACACUGCCACAUAGCCAGAAAACCUUGACUAUCAUUGAUCAACUGGCUAGCCAACUAGAGGCUUGCUAGGGACAUUGUUUUGUCUAUGUAUCCACACAUGUAUCUAUGUUUUCAUUCAAUACAAUUAUAGCAUGGAUAAUAAACGAUCAUCUUUAAACAGGAAAUAUAAUAAUAACUAUUUAUCAUUGCCUCUAGGGCAUAUCCAACAGGUAUUGUUGAUGCACCAUGGUCAGAAUUAGUUGAGAGGUUGCUUGGGAUUCCUCUGGAUGAACAACACAUGAAACAAAAGAAAAGGCGAAAAGGUGAUGAUAAUAUUGUUAUUAGGGAUGGACAAUACUAUGUGAAUUUCGGUCAACUGCGGGAACGCUUCCAUGUGUUGCCACACAAUCCAAUGGAUAGGGAGAUUAAUUGGCAUGCUCGAGCAAUUGUUCUUGAAAUCCUUGCCUCUAUAGUCGUUAUUGAUACAUAUGGAGAUGGAGUGCCAGCUAUGUAUCUCCAGUUUAUGUAGAAUUUAGGAUAGCCAACAUAGUAUAAUUGGGGAGCAGCUCCUCUUGCUCUGUUGUAUAGACAAUUGAGCAUGUGUGAUGAGAAGGAGAGACUAGAAAUUUGAGGGCCUUUAUUGCUGCUACAAUUAUGGUCUUGGUCCCGUUUGCCACUUGGUCGCCCUAAAGUUAUUUUUGAGAAGCCCAAAGAAGGACAUGAACGGGAAGAAUAGGAAUAUGAACAAGAAGUACAUUUGAAUUAUAACCCUAUUUUUGGAGCAAAGUGGUGUGGAGCACAUGCGUUUGAUGUCCCUCAUAAUGCUGGUAUUUUAUUCUACUUACUAAAUUUGUUACACAUCAUUUGUGCUACCUCAAAUAAUUUUAUUAACUUGCAAAUCAAAUAUAUAUAUAUAUAUAUAUAUAUUAUCGGAAUCAGAUUGAUUUUAUUCAAGAAGGUGCAGUUAAUUGGCAACCGUAUGAUGAUCUUCUCGAUCGAGCACAUGCCCAUCGAAGUCCAUGAUGAUUCUGAUUGGUAGUUUGAUAGAGUAUCGCUUAUGCUUUUUUGGAAUGUGGAGUUCCACUAUACAGAUAGGGUGAUGCGGCAAUUUGGAUUAAGACAUGACAUUCCAACUUCUCUUCCACGUUGCAAAGUAGAGGUUCGGAGACUAUGAAAAAUUAAGCAUUCUGCAGGAAAAUCAUAAAAUUGGGAGGAAGUCCAUGCCAAUUAUGUUCAAGAAUAUGAUCGCGUUUAAGCAAGCGUGUUGCUAGAGGAUAUUCCCUUCGAUGUAGGUACUUUACCCGAUUACAGAAAUUGGUUCCAACAAAAUGGUAUGUACACAGUAUUUUUCAAUUCUCGGUGCUCGGGUGGCCUAGAUAAACCUAUUACAUAUCCUCGAGAUAGCAUCGAAUGGAUUGGCUACAUGCCUAGUGGUCCGCCACUGGCUCGAAUUGUAAGUGCGUGAUGCAUUUUCAUUGUAUUAUUUGCAUUAUAUAGUAAUAAAGUGUCAUCAAAUAUUUGUUUUGUCACUUGUAGGGGUUACGUGAGAUAAAUAAUGUUGCAUGGGGGAUCAAAUGUGCUAUUACUAGUGGAUGCAAAAAGAUAGGGAAAUCUGUAUUGAGGUCCUGUGUAGGAAAUUUGUUAGAUCUGAACUUGGAGCCUAGGCUACAAAGCAUGCUCGCUGAGGCUAGGUUACCACUGAAGAUUGAAGAUAUUCCAUCCGAUGAUGAGGUUUCCUAUAUUGCGCACCCACCAAGCCCCCCAAAAGAGAGCAACUCUUAUGUAUUUAAUGAAUGCAUAUGUAUACUCUGUCAAAGGUUUAAUAACAUACCUUAUGGCUAGUGUACCAAUGAGAGAUGCAGAACCAAUUUAUGUUGGUGUUGCAUACAACCUCCACAUGCAACUGUCAUCAAUACACUGUGCUACAAGUUUAGAUUGACGACUUGUGCUAUACUUCUCUUCCAGGUUCUUGUUUAUGUGAAAUUCUCUAAUUGCAAUUUUGAGGUGCCCUUUUGAAUCAACAAUCUGCACCUCUAAUAAUGGGCUUUGAAAGUGAUUCUUACAUCCAAAAAAACUUUCAUCCGUUGUCGUCUCCGUUAAUAUAGAUAUGUCACUAAAGGCUCUCACGCCAUUCUGUCCACAAGUACGCAUGAAUGGAAAUGCAUUAACAUGAUGGACAACUCUUGGUUCUGGAUCUUCAUCUGAACUCUGGCUAGAUGCAGCAUGAGAAUCAUGUUCAUCGUCAUCAUCAUCUCCCAUCAAAUCCUCCUCUGGCUCUGUGUCUUCUUGAUCAUAUGGGUCACUGACAGUACUUGUUGUCAAAUCAUUUGUCACAAUACCAUGAGUAUAAGAUGGAGCAUGUGCCAUCUCAAAAUUAGGACCACGUGAACUAGAAUUUGAAAAACCACUAAUGAGUGUUUGAUGCAAUGAUGAAUGCAUUGCACUUUCAUACCUUUGUGAUUGCCUUUCAAUUAUUUCUAUGUUGCUUCCACCGCUGACUUGGGUCAACAUGUCUUUAUUUGGCGUGAUAUUAACAUAUAAAUCUAUCACUUACCAUGUUGUCCGAGACUUGGUCCUCUCAAGAAUCAUGUUCCAUCCUCUUUCCUCAUAUAUUGGGAUUAACUCAAAAUAAUGUGGUCCAAGAGAUCCAAUAUCAAAACGAGCUUGAAUAUUCAAGUUGGUUUGAGCACUGCCAUUAACAUAUCCAAGUCCUCGACAUGUCUCACUCUUGAUAUCUUCAAAAGUGGUUUUCUCAGAUGCUGGAAAUGUUAAACAAAUUUUUUCUAUGCACACAUAAGAUCUAUCCAUGGUGAUGACCAUCUACGAGAGGAGAGAUCGAAUCCACCAACCCUUGUAGAUCGCUAAGCGAAAGCGUAUAUAAAGCGGCUGAUGUAGUCGAACAUUUUCACGAUCCAAAUCGCAGUCCGUCCCACGAUCUCAUCACAAUCUGUCUCGCGAUCCCAUCACGAUCCAUCCUGAUCUAGUGUCGUACGGACGACACCUCCGUGUUCAGCACAUGUAGAACUCGAUGACGAUCUCCACCUCCUUGAUCCAACAAGCAAGGGUGAAGAGAUAGAUGAGUUCUCCGCCAACACAAUGGCGUGGCAGCGAUGGUGGUGGAGCUGAUCUGGUAGGGCUUCGCCUAUGUAGUCCCGAACCGAUCGAGAGGUGGAACGAACUAGAGGAGGGAGAGAAAGCUGCGCCGUGACCUAAUUGGGGCGGCUGCCCACCAUAACCUUUUCACGGAAGGCUGCUAAUAUCCUCUCCACUAUAUAUAGGAGUGGGGGAAGGGGUGGCUCCAUGACCUAAUUGGCGCCUGGCCGCGCGCCAUGACCAAAUUUGGGUCAGGGAGCGCGCCAUGACAAAAUUGGGGCCGGCGACUGAUGUUAGCUGUGCUUCCCUGGCAAUGGCUCCAGAAAAGGGCUGAUCCUGCAAUCUCUGGCGUUAACUAGACGAAUGCUUAUAACAACUAACCUUCUCCUGCAACGACACCAGAAGAAUGCUAAUAGCACUCCCCGGCAAUGAAACUGGAAGAAUGUUGUUGAUGGACCACCAACGCGUGAGUUCGCAGCAGUUUUCGANNNNNNNNNNNNNNNNNNNNNNNNNNNNNNNNNNNNNNNNNNNNNNNNNNNNNNNNNNNNNNNNNNNNNNNNNNNNNNNNNNNNNNNNNNNNNNNNNNNNCUCCUCUGCGCGCGUCGUUCAUGCUCUUGGACGUGGGGAGGGCGGUGGUUCUCGCAACGAGGGAUGGCGCAUCCUGUGCUCGAGCUGUUUGUGUCUGCGAGUGGAGCUCGCCCAAAAAGUACUCCUCGGGCGUCCCGCGGGCCCCUGCGCGGGGAGCCUGCUGCGGGGGCCAACGAGGAGGUGUCGAUUCAGAUUGCCAGGCCCGACUACUCGCGUGGCGUCGGGGGGGGGGACGGGAGGGCAGAAGCCUAUGGACGAGGAGGCCUCCGCAGCGCAGGGCAACGAGGUCGGCGCGGGCGGCAGGAGCGGGGGAGGGGGACUAGUCGUACCUGGGCUACGCCGUGCAGCGCCUGGCCAGGUGGGUGGACCACGCGUUGCCUUUCUCCCUGCUCCUGCACAGCGUCUUCAUCCGCCAACACCUGUAAGGUACGCGAAUCCGCGUGCAACACCUACCUCUUUCUUCUCUAUGUAGCGUGAGGGUAUCCCUCAUCACGCUAUACGAGUGAAUUUGUGACGCGAGUUUGAUUCGAUUUAUUUUGUUGUGCUCUGCCCAAAUAUUGCGGAGAGUAGCUGGUCAGAAGAUGAUGGCAAGUUCCUAAUUCCAAUAAAGUUUAUAUUGUGUAGGUUUCUUCGUGAUGAUUUGGAUUUGUGCAGUCAUGUUCAAGUCCAACGAUAUCUUGUGCAAGCACACCGCUCUCAAGGUUUGUACUUCUUACCUUGUGUGUCAGCGUGCUUGUUGUGCUUCUAGAGGUUAAUUAAUUAGUUGUUCUGGCAAGCAGACUGCUCUCAAGGGCUUGAGGUUCUUAUGUGGUGUAUCAAUGUUAUUGCUAUUGUUCUAGCAGGCUACAGGGUUGGGGGAGCGAUGGUGCCAGUCAUGUCGGGGUCCGGUUUCGGUCAAUACCAAAGACUGCGAUGCCUCACCGUGGCUACAGGUUGAAACUUCGUGCUGCAGUUUCGUCUUCCCUUGAGUUUGGUCCGGAGGAAACUUUGGAUCUUGGGUUUUCCGGAUCAAGCGAUGGUGGCCUGCAACGUCGCAUUCCCCGGAUGGGGCUUCGCCUUUGAGCUUGCCUUGCUAGGGGGACUGGUGGCUCUGAAAAUCAUCUCACUCAACUGUUGCUUUGUAGUGUAUGAUGAUGUUUCUCUUGUUAUUUUCAAUCUUACACUCUCAGUCAUGAGUUGAGCUUAGUGGAUUGUGAUUUUCAAGACAGCCUACUUGGUGCCAUAUUUACAUAGCUUGCUUGGUGAAAUUCUGUUUAUAGUUUCUCAUUAUUUAAGCAACCGAUCAUAGUUUCAUUUAUUAAACAAUAAGCAAUAAAAUCCUCCACUCUCAUUAUUUAAUUCUGUUUGGCAAUGGAGCUAGCUUCUCAUGCAUCUAUCUUUUCAUUUAGCUAGCUAGCUAACUUGGUCCAUUUCAAUUAAACAUCUAUAUUUUCAUCUAUCCUCUCAUGCAUCUAAUUCUAUUUGGGAGUAAAUAUUGGUUAACACGAGCAGUGAGCGGAGGAAGCAGCGAGGGUGGGCGGUGCGGCCACACCUCUGGGCCAUGGCGUAAGCGGCGGAGCCUGUGGGCGUCCGUAUCACGUCGAAGGCGAGGCUGCUGUCCGGAUCCGGAGCACGAGCGACGAAUGGAGCUAUCACGUCCGCGCACUCCAGGAGUGAAUGGCAAGAUCAGGCCAUGGCAAAGGAUCUCAAAAGACAUGGCGCUAGUUGCUUUUAGGGACAACCACACGGUAUACUGUCUCGAUCUAAUUCACGUAACCACAUAUAUCAUUCAUGGAUUGGAGAGACAGUGAGAGGCCCAAGAUAAUCCACUUGAUAUUACAUGUAUAAUGUUGCAAUUCACACAAAUGACAAGCUUAUCAAGAUUGCCAGGGAGGUACUCAAAUGAUUUGAAUUUCAAGCUCUUCUUUUUUCUUGGUUACCAGUCUGUAGUAGAUGAUAAGUAUUGAUGCUCAGUUCCUC
rnacentral:lncRNA from 1 species